GAUGAACGCUGGCGGCGUGCUUAAUACAUGCAAGUAGAACGCUGAAGGAGGAGCUUGCUCUUCUGGAUGAGUUGCGAACGGGUGAGUAACGCGUAGGUAACCUGCCUGGUAGCGGGGGAUAACUAUUGGAAACGAUAGCUAAUACCGCAUGACAACAGUUAUUGCAUGAUAACUGUUUAAAAGGGGCAACUGCUCCACUACCAGAUGGACCUGCGUUGUAUUAGCUAGUUGGUGAGGUAACGGCUCACCAAGGCGACGAUACAUAGCCGACCUGAGAGGGUGAUCGGCCACACUGGGACUGAGACACGGCCCAGACUCCUACGGGAGGCAGCAGUAGGGAAUCUUCGGCAAUGGACGGAAGUCUGACCGAGCAACGCCGCGUGAGUGAAGAAGGUUUUCGGAUCGUAAAGCUCUGUUGUAAGAGAAGAACGAGUGUGAGAGUGGAAAGUUCACACUGUGACGGUAUCUUACCAGAAAGGGACGGCUAACUACGUG
rnacentral:rRNA from 1 species